CUUGGAAGCAGCCACCCUUGAAAGAGUGCGUAAUAGCUCACUGGUCAAGUGAUUCUGCGCCGACAAUGUAGCGGGGCUCAAGCAGUCCGCCGAAGCUGUGGCACUCACACGUGUGCUUGGCCCCUUUUGUGGGGUUUAGGUGUGUGGGUGGGUAGGGGAGCGUCGUGUGUGCGGUGAAGCGGCGGGGUGACCCAGUCGUGGAGUGCACACGAGUGAGAAUGCAGGCAUGAGUAGCGAAUGACGGGUGAGAAACCCGUCCGCCGAAUAUCCAAGGGUUCCAGGGUCAAGCUAAUCUGCCCUGGGUAAGUCGGGACCUAAGGCGAGGCCGACAGGCGUAGUCGAUGGACAACCAGUUGAUAUUCUGGUACCGGCGAAACAACGUCCGUGCUGAGGCGGGUGAUACUAAGCAUGCGAGCUCAUUGUGGCCCUUUGGGGUUGUGGUGGGUGAGUCUGUGACCUGAUCUUGUAGUAGGCAAGCUGCGGAGGGACGCAGGAAGGUAGCCCAUCCCGGGCGGUGGUUGUCCCGGGCUAAGAUGGUAGGCCGGCACGUAGGCAAAUCCGCGUGUUGUGUGGCUGAGAGUUGAUGGCACUGCGAAACAUGUUUUGUGGUGUGGGUGAUCCUAUGCUGCCUAGAAAAGCUUCGUGAGCGAGUUGUGAGCCGCCCGUACCCUAAACCGACACAGGUGGAUAGGUAGAGAAUACCAAGGCGAUCGAGAGAAUCGUGGUGAAGGAACUCGGCAAAAUACCCCCGUAACUUCGGGAUAAGGGGGACCUGACACGUCAACACAUUUUCUGUGGGUAGCGUGGAGGGUCGCAGAGACCAGGCCCAAGCGACUGUUUACUAAAAACACAGGUCCGUGCGAAGUUGUAAGACGAUGUAUACGGACUGACUCCUGCCCGGUGCUGGAAGGUUAAGGGGACCUGUCAGGGUAGUGAUACCCGAAGCGGAGAACUUAAGCCCCAGUAAACGGCGGUGGUAACUAUAACCAUCCUAAGGUAGCGAAAUUCCUUGUCGGGUAAGUUCCGACCUGCACGAAUGGAGUAACGAUUUGGGCGCUGUCUCCACCACGAACUCGGCGAAAUUGCAGUACGAGUAAAGAUGCUCGUUACGCGCAGCAGGACGGAAAGACCCCGGGACCUUUACUAUAGUUUGGUAUUGGUGAUCGGUACAGCUUGUGUAGGAUAGGUGGGAGACUGUGAAGUCCGGACGCUAGUUCGGGUGGAGUCAUCGUUGAAAUACCACUCUGGCUGUUCUGGUUAUCUAACCUCGGACCAUGAUCUGGUUCAGGGACAGUGCCUGAUGGGUAGUUUGACUGGGGCGGUCGCCUCCUAAAAGGUAACGGAGGCGCCCAAAGGUUCCCUCAGCCUGGUUGGCAAUCAGGUGUUGAGUGUAAGUGCACAAGGGAGCUUGACUGUGAGACUGACAAGUCGAGCAGGGA
rnacentral:rRNA from 1 species